UAAAAUUAAACACAGAAAACAUUAAAAAACAAAACAAAAAAUAUCGGUGAUCGGAGAACCAAAUCCUGGACAUGAGCGAGCCGCGAAACCCACCGUCGGGACUAAGAAUCUCCAUGACCGAACCUAUCCGCUCCUUUCUCCUCUCAGCUUCGAAAGACGGGGAUGUACCUCGAGAACUGCAGGAUCUCGCUCUCAAUCUCUCCUCUCAAAAUAACCUACACUACAAGUCCUUCCGUAGUAUAUGGAUCCGAUCCCCACCCUCAACCCGACCACCCGACUUGAUCCGCCUCUUCUCCGGUUCCAAUUUCAUCCUAUCCAGCCCCAAGCCCAGAGAAAAGAGUGAAGAGCUCAAGGCGAGAUUGAGGAAACUUGAAGAAAUGGCAGAGAGGAAAGCGUAUGCAGAGCUAGUUAAGGAUAUUACGCCGCGGAAGAAUACCGAUGAGCCCUUCUCUUCUUAUAAGGAUCAGAUGGGCUUUGGUUUGCAUGUUGUUCUUAUCAUGUUUACUGGCUAUCUGGUUGGAUAUGCAGCAUUUAGAGCUUUGUUUGGCCACAGUCCUGCCAUGAGUGCUGCUGGAGGCAUUCUUGGAUUGGUUUUUGGAAUGCUUGUAGAAACUUUUCUUUUCAUAAUUCGAACUUCCAACCCCGAUCCUAGAUCAUCAACUUCUAACACUUCUAAGCUAAAGAAGAAUCAAUAGAAUUGACACAAACAGAUGCAUCAGUAGGCUUGAUUAUAAUUUUUCUUUUCAACGAUCAGUUUGCAUUUGACGACUCUGGAUUUUGAUGAAGAAGCAUGAAGAAGAGAUACAGGUGCCUUAAUACCUGCACGAAUGUUGUUACCAUGACUGUUGACAUCAAAACUACUCCAACUACAGAAACUUUUCCCUGCAAAUUCAAGACAAACAAAAUCUGUCAUAGUGAUAAUUAAGACCGGGAGAAAGAAAGCUAUUGAGCAAUGUUAAAGGAAGAAGAGGGUGAGACCUAGAGGGGGAUUGAGGACAAAACGUUCAAGGAUCUAUAUGAAGUAGAGAGUCAGCUGGAAAGAGGGUAGUAGAAGUGUAGAACCCUAAUUUUUAUUUAUAUAUAGCUUGGUAUAAUUGUAAUUUUUUUUCAAACUUUAAGGUUAUUUAGUUCGGGUAGGGUUUCAAUUCGGACAAAGCAAUAUCCAUACCCUAUCUACAUUUAAAUGAGCAAAACAAAUCUUUAUCUA